UAGGGAAUCUUCGGCAAUGGACGAAAGUCUGACCGAGCAACGCCGCGUGAGUGAAGAAGGUUUUCGGAUCGUAAAACUCUGUUGUUAGAGAAGAACAAGGACGUUAGUAACUGAACGUCCCCUGACGGUAUCUAACCAGAAAGCCACGGCUAACUACGUGCCAGCAGCCGCGGUAAUACGUAGGUGGCAAGCGUUGUCCGGAUUUAUUGGGCGUAAAGCGAGCGCAGGCGGUUUCUUAAGUCUGAUGUGAAAGCCCCCGGCGCAACCGGGGAGGGUCAUUGGAAACUGGGAGACUUGAGUGCAGAAGAGGAGAGUGGAAUUCCAUGUGUAGCGGUGAAAUGCGUAGAUAUAUGGAGGAACACCAGUGGCGAAGGCGGCUCGCUGGUCUGUAACUGACGCUGAGGCUCGAAAGCGUGGGGAGCAAACAGG
rnacentral:rRNA from 1 species